UGGGGAAUAUUGCACAAUGGGCGCAAGCCUGAUGCAGCAACGCCGCGUGAGGGACGACGGCCUUCGGGUUGUAAACCUCUUUUGGCAGGGAAGAAGCGAAAGUGACGGUACCUGCAGAAAAAGCACCGGCUAACUACGUGCCAGCAGCCGCGGUGAUACGUAGGGUGCAAGCGUUGUCCGGAAUUAUUGGGCGUAAAGAGCUCGUAGGCGGUUUGUCGCGUCUGCUGUGAAAACCCGAGGCUCAACCUCGGGCCUGCAGUGGGUACGGGCAAACUAGAGUGCGGUAGGGGAGAGUGGAAUUCCUGGUGUAGCGGUGGAAUGCGCAGAUAUCAGGAGGAACACCGAUGGCGAAGGCAGAUCUCUGGGCCGUAACUGACGCUGAGGAGCGAAAGCAUGGGGAGCGAACA
rnacentral:rRNA from 1 species